rnacentral:misc_RNA from 1 species
GGUUUUUGAGAAGAAGAACGAAGCCUGAAUCCCAAAUUAGUUGGAAUUGGCUGUAUGGAUCCUUUCAGCUGUAUGAGAUAAAACUAAUAUAACUCAGGCCAUUGAUAUGGCUAGUGCUAGACGAGGAAUUUUGAUACCAGUGCAGGGACCAACUUGGGUUCUGUGUAGAGACUACAAACUUAAUAUAUAUUCAGGAAAAUUUAGGUAAGUUCCAUCAGAAGGAGGCAUUUUAGUGAAAAUUUGCCAUAGUUU